AUCGAAACGCCUGAAUACCGAAAUCCAGCAGCUUUCAACAUUUAUGCCCUCCGACAAGAGCCAUUCCAGAAGAGCAAUGGUCACAGUACUGUCCUCGAGCCUCACACUGUGUCGUUACUCAAAGUGAAUACACACUGGCCCAGGAAUUAGAAACCCAAGCCAAAGUCCAAGCUCUGUGGUCACCCAGCUGGGCAUGUCACAGGUCCCACACCUGUACA
rnacentral:lncRNA from 1 species